GUGACCUGUUGAGAGGUGAGGAUAAUUGCAACCUCUCUCAAGUCUCAGGGUAUAAUCUUCUCUUAAGUGGCAUUAUCCAGAGUGCCUGUGGCGACAUGGAAACUGAUGGAGACCAUACUGCUCCCAUUGUAGUUGCCAUACCUGCAAAAGAUCAGGUGGCCUUGUGGGUUACCUACAUUUUGGUGAACUCACAUUGGUUCAGUAUAUGGAUCGACAAUACUGAGGACUACUUUAUUACUAGGAAAAUUUCAGUGGACUUUAUUCAUGUUACCCAAAUGCAUAGGAGGUUGAUUUAUAAAUAAGAAUUCAGUUAUUAAUUUUAAAGCUUUAAAUUCUUUUUGGAAUGAUUCAGAAUAUAAAUAAUGGGAGGCAGCGUGGUAACGUGGAGAGAACAGAUGGUCCAGAUUUAGACAAAACUGCUUCUGAGAACCUAGUUUAGCAACAUGACCUUGAACAACAUCUUAACAGCUCUGAGUUGCAAUUUCUUUCCUCCGAGAAAUAGAGAUGAUAUUAUGUCAUAAGGUUAGUUUGGCUCUGGAAUUCUCAGCUCAAAGGCAAAGGGCACUAGUGGGAAGAAACACUGCAGGCUUCUAAGGCUGAUCCCAGCAAUCCCAGCUGGAUGAUUCAACACAUAGUGUCCCCCCAAAAGAAGUGGUCCAGUUGUGGGGUUAGGCUAGAGCAUGACCAGUAAAUCUCAAUCUGGAGGUUGGACCAUAGCAGUUUCGAAGGACCUCUCCAUUGUAGAAAACCCCAGGGCAUAGAAUUGUCACUAUAUUAAAUCAUGGCUCUGAUCAAAUGGCCUUGGUUUCAGGGUCUGGCCCCACUAAUUGAAAAGUAGCAACCUGAUAGAGUAGCCAGGGUGAUUUCAGAUGAAAUUCUGUGCACUAAACCAUCCCCUCUUAGGGAGGGAGAGCCCCUGGUACAUCCCAUCCAAGCUCUAACAUUCCAUCCCAGCUCCUGCUGUGUGGUGGCAACACAGUUGUUAUCUUCCUGCCAUUGGUAUGUCUAACUUAGCACGAUUGUCAAAGAUCAACCCAAGGAGGCAAAGUAGGGUCUAUCAACAUCAGACUAAAAAAGACUGAAUAGCAAUGAGGCUCUAGGGGAGUUUUGGAAGGCACCUCAACCUCACAAAGAACAUCUCUUCCUAGUGCCAAUAAGGUAUCAGUUGGAGCCACCUGUACAUUGAGAUCUAAAUAACAUUAGCCCAGAAUCCUCUGCAAUUUCUUGGCUUAUGGAAAUUGCAUGCGAAGUGAUUCCUUUCUCUACUUUCAAGAGAAUACUUCCUCCUUCUUUCCUUUCUUAUGUCCUCCCUUCUCCAUCUCUCCUUUUCUCUGUCUCUUUCCUUUGGUUCAGCAACAUUUGUUAAGCAUUGUGAUGGCUGAGAUACGAAAUUCAGUCUCUUUAAAUUUUACGAGCACACACACACUCAAAGUGAACAUGAUCAUGAUAUGAUCCUGAUAGAUUUUACAAGUGGUUUUUGUAAAUGAAAGAAAAGGUUCACAUAAUAGCACCGGAGAAAUUAAGUAUAAUGGAUACUUAUCCCAUCCCUGGAGUUAUCAUUACUCCUCUCUUCCUGUUUCCUUCUCUUUUGUUUUCAUUUGUCUUUCCCAUUUCCUUUUGGGCACAAACCCCACAAAUUACUUCUUUUCCCAGGCAAAAUGGCUCUCUUCACAUCAAUUAGAAUGUCCUUUGCUGGGGUUCAUGCCCUCUGGUAAGUUCUCUUCUUUAUUAAAGAAUAUAAGGUAGUUUUUUGAGGAUCAUUUCCCCCCAAGAGAAGUUCAUAUGUGACCAGUAAAGACAGUAAAACAAAUAUGAUCUCUUGUACCGAGCACCCGGGUACUGGUACUAAAAUGAUUCAUAAUCUUUAUUGACUAAUGCUAAAUAAAUACUAAUUUUUAAAAAAGCCAUUUCCCUUCUUUUCAUCAUUCUUGCAAAAGUAUUUUCUAGUCUACUGUAACCUAAUGCAGUCAACUUUCAAACACUAGUCAAGGUUAGUUUUUCUUGUAUUCAUUGCAUUUCAGAAGAAAGGCUUAGCAUAUAGAUUUUAGAAGACAUCUUCUCAAAAGCAAUAUUUUAAAUAAAAUAUCUAUUAAAAUAAGAUAGAAAGAAAUCCACAGCAUAUCUUUCAUUUUGUUCUUUGUUGGGUUCAAUUUCUGAGAAAAACCGUUUAAUCUUCUCCCUUGAUUCUAAGAGUGGUCCUUAGGUAAAGCUGGUGAUUCCCUGUCCCCUGGCAUUAUGGUCAACUUAAUUGUUUUUGCCAGUCUAAGCAUAGUUGACAGGAAUUCAGAAGUGUCACUUAUGAUUUUGUUGUGCAAAAAACAGUGAUUAACCAAAUUUCUGUUGUGACUCUGCUAAAAAUGGUCUGUCUUUGUGCAGUGGGUAAGUUCACUUUUGAUAUGCCUCACAGUGGUGGUGGACAAGUGUAUUUGUUAGAAUACAAGGUACCCCUAUUUGACCACAUUAACAACAAAAAUAUUUUAACAACUGAAUUGUAUUCAAGCAUUGGGAACUAGAGGACAGAAGGGUAAGAGAUAAAUGAACUGGCCAAUAGGUUUAUAAGCAAAAGUAUGUUGUACUUCAAAGUUUAAGCUUAAGACUGAAUUUUUAUAAAGUUCUCUUCUGGUAUAUACCUAGAAAGCUUUUUGGUGAUUUCUAGUAUCUCAAGUAAUUUGCAUAUGUUUUUAUACUAGUAUCCCUUGAAGUUCAGAGACUUUUGUGGAGAAAGUUGAUGCAAUAUCACAAAAGAAAAGAUAAAUAUAAAACUAAAAAUUUCUCAAGAUUGUUCUGGUAAUUUGCUUCUGCCAGUGAACCAGGGCAAAAGCAAUCCUUUCUUGUUCUCACUGUAGUUUGAAUGGUGCAUUCACUGGCCAAAAAAAAAUUGUGAGUCUGUUUUUUUUUUGCUUGUUUUUUAAAGAAUACAGCACAUUAAAUAGAAGAAGUUAUUCAUUACUUGGUGGUACAUUGUUCUCUUGGUGGAUUAAUAUGCGUAAUCAUGCGUACCUUUCUCACUCCAAUUCUAAAACAAUAAAGAAUAUCACUAGUAAUAAAAUAACUUCAAAAUACACAGCUUAAUAUAAACAAUAGUUUCCACAUAUAAAGUAGACCCCCUGCUAUUUAUAGUGAUGAUGGGUCCCCAAAUGUGCUAUGUUGUGGGCUAUUCUCUAGGGGAGAAAUGAGCAAGACCAGAUAAGACUGUGGACUUCGGCAGGAUGGGGGAAACCUGACUGGUAGAACAAGGCUGCUUUCUUCCUUCCUGCCUCUUGAAGAGUGACCAAAAGGCUAAGUCAGUGAGAAAUGGCAGUCUAGAAUCCUUGCCCAUGCAUCAUGACCACAGAUGUUGCAUGGCCCCCAGUGCUGAAGGGAAGAGGUCUUCUCAGGUUCACGUGGAGCCCACCAGGUUCUUAAUAAGGAAGGAUGGUCCAAGCUGAUACUGAGGACUGUGAGAAGAGUUUUGAUAGAGGUAGGCAGGAAGAAGAAAGACCUAAAGGCCUUAGAUCUUCAAGCCAGCUAGCCAAACCCUUGGGGCUGGUGUCUCAGAUCCUGUGGAGAGCUAGAUAGUCACAGAAAACAAAGGAUCUUGAUAGAAGGGCUAUUGGGGUUUAUUCUAUUUAUGGAGUUGUAUAGAUGGGGAAGUCUAGCCUUAUGCCCAUAGAAUAAAAUUCCUUUCUGAAUCCCCAGGAGUAUUACCAGGCCCAUGGUGCUCAUUUAUACUAAGGGCAUGCAUUCCAGUGGCCCAGAGCAUGAGUGGCAGAUAUUAGAGCAGGGAUCUAGGUUCAGGUUGUAGCUACUAGAGAACUAGCACUCUGAUAUAGCUUGUAAGAUGAUUUAAAUUAAUUGCAAAUUCAGUUAUAUACAUCUCAAUGUAAUUUUGAAAAAAUGAAAUAUGAGAGUUAGGCUAGGUUACAAUAUCAUCUUUAUAUGAAUUUUUUGUUCUUACUACUUUCAAUCCUAAAGAAAAGUAAAGAAUGCAUUCUCUUACUGCCAUCCUUGCAUUGGAUUUCUUAAGACCCAAAUGUGUAGCAUGUCAGAUAGGAAGGAAUUUAUUAUUGUAAGCAAUACAACUGCAUUAUCAGCCCGAGAACAAGUAAGAUCAUAUUCUUUUUCAUAGUUACUUUUUAAGAUUUUUAUUUUUCCAAUAUAGUUGAUUUAUAGUCUGUCAAUUUCUACUGUACAGCAAAAUGACCCAGUCACACAUAGAUAUAUACUCUUUUUCUCACAUUAUCCU
rnacentral:lncRNA from 1 species